rnacentral:rRNA from 1 species
UACGUAGGGUGCAAGCGUUGUCCGGAAUUAUUGGGCGUAAAGAGCUCGUAGGCGGUCUGUCGCGUCGGACGUGAAAACCCAGGGCUCAACCCUGGGCCUGCGUUCGAUACGGGCAGACUAGAGUUCGGUAGGGGAGACUGGAAUUCCUGGUGUAGCGGUGAAAUGCGCAGAUAUCAGGAGGAAUACCGGUGGCGAAGGCGGGUCUCUGGGCCGAUACUGACGCUGAGGAGCGAAAGCGUGGGGAGCGAACAGG